rnacentral:rRNA from 1 species
UACAGAGGUCUCAAGCGUUGUCCGGAAUCAUUGGGCGUAAAGCGCGUGUAGGCGGUCCGGUAAGUCCGCUGUGAAAGUCGGGGGCUCAACCUCGAAUGCCGGUGGAUACUGUCGGGCUAGAGUGCGGAAGAGGCGAGUGGAAUUCCUGGUGUAGCGGUGAAAUGCGCAGAUAUCAGGAGGAACACCUAUUGCGAAGGCAGCUCGCUGGGACGUAACUGACGCUGAGGCGCGAAAGCGUGGGGAUCAAACAGG